rnacentral:ncRNA from 1 species
GGCAGUGACACGGGGUGCCGCCCGCGUAGUCGCGAUUGCGACGGGUGGCUGAGAACACACCCGUCGAACCUGAUCUAGUUCGAACUAGCGAAGGGAUGUCGCAAUGCGCGAUC